rnacentral:rRNA from 1 species
AGAGUUUGAUCCUGGCUCAGGAUGAACGCUAGCGGGAGGCCUAACACAUGCAAGUCGAACGGGAUUGGGAGCUUGCUCCCAUGAGAGUGGCGCACGGGUGAGUAACGCGUAUGCAACCUACCUUUAACUGAGGGAUAGCCCAUAGAAAUGUGGAUUAAUACCUCAUAGUUCUAUUGAUCCGCAUGGUUUGAUAGAUAAAGCUCCGGCGGUUAAAGAUGGGCAUGCGUGACAUUAGCUAGUUGGUAAGGUAACGGCUUACCAAGGCUACGAUGUCUAGGGGUUCUGAGAGGAUGAUCCCCCACACUGGUACUGAGACACGGACCAGACUCCUACGGGAGGCAGCAGUGAGGAAUAUUGGUCAAUGGGCGCAAGCCUGAACCAGCCAUCCCGCGUGAAGGAUGAAGGUCCUAUGGAUUGUAAACUUCUUUUAUACACCAAGAAAAACACCCACGUGUGGGUGCCCGACGGUAGUGUAUGAAUAAGCAUCGGCUAACUCCGUGCCAGCAGCCGCGGUAAUACGGAGGAUGCAAGCGUUAUCCGGAUUCAUUGGGUUUAAAGGGUGCGUAGGCGGCUCUUUAAGUCAGUGGUGAAAUCCUGCCGCUUAACGGUAGAAUUGCCAUUGAUACUGAAGAGCUUGAGUACAAUUGAGGUAAGCGGAAUGUGUAGUGUAGCGGUGAAAUGCUUAGAUAUUACACAGAACACCGAUUGCGAAGGCAGCUUACUAAACUGUUACUGACGCUGAUGCACGAAAGCGUGGGGAGCGAACAGGAUUAGAUACCCUGGUAGUCC